ensembl:snRNA U2 U2 spliceosomal RNA
AUUGCUUCUUGGCCUCCUGGCUAAGAUCAAGUGUAGUAUCUAUAAAAUACUUUUUUCUGGGAUUGGAUUGGGAUUUCAUUCAAAGUAGUAUAGAACUACCUUUGACUGUAUUGAGCCUUCCUAUCCACAAACAUGGAAUAGCUUUCCAUUUGUUUAGUUUGU